UACGAAGGGGGCUAGCGUUGUUCGGAAUUACUGGGCGUAAAGCGCACGUAGGCGGAUAUUUAAGUCAGGGGUGAAAUCCCAGAGCUCAACUCUGGAACUGCCUUUGAUACUGGGUAUCUGGAGUAUGGAAGAGGUGAGUGGAAUUCCGAGUGUAGAGGUGAAAUUCGUAGAUAUUCGGAGGAACACCAGUGGCGAAGGCGGCUCACUGGUCCAUUACUGACACUGAGAGACGACAGCUGGGGGAGCGAAUAGG
rnacentral:rRNA from 1 species